GGAAUUGUGGGGGGCACAGGGGAUUGCAGGAGGCAAGAGGGUUAUUGGGCGGCAUGGAGCAUUAUGGACGGCACAAGGAUUGUGGGAGGCACUAGAGAUUGUGGGAGACACAGGAUAUUAUGGGUGGCGCACAGAGCCACUUAAGUGCCCUCUCUGUGAGUACAAGGGAUCCUGGGGCUGUGCACCCACUGUGGGCGCAGGGGACAAUGACAGGAACGCUAGCUCUUUGCUAGUUGCUUGGUAUGUAGGUGCAUAGGGAGAGAGGAGGCAGGCUCAUGGAGCAGAAGUGACACAGAGGUAGUGAGAUUAGAUAGGAGAGGGCAGAGAGCAGUCAGGGUCUGUUUAGAGACAGGUACUAUGAGUAGUGCUUAAGAGCAGAGGGUUUGUAGCCAGGGAAUCUGAAGUUUGAAUCUUCUUUCUGAACGUCUUGAGUGAACUUGAACCUAAAUUUCCUAAUCUGGAAAGUUCAGAUAAUAACACCUACCUUCCCAGACUGGUGAAGAUUAAAUGAGAAAAUGUAUAAUAAAAUACUUAGUAGUGGCUGACACAGAAUAAGCACUCAGUAAAUAUUCUUAUUAUUAGGCAAGUAUUACAGAGGAAGUAUUGAGAGAAAAGGCACUCAGCUGGCUGUGGGCAGGGGCAUGAGAUGGUUUAUCAUUCUGGGAGGCACAGGUCUGUUCCUUCACGGCUCCUGCUCUCUGUGCAGCUGGAACCAUAGACUCCAUUUCCUGUGAAUCCCCUUUCUCACUUUGCUGGGGAAGGAAGAUGUGGGAUCAGAGGUUUGGAGGCAGCCCAAAGGGCAGGUCUAGGCAUUGGCCAGAGUCCCAAGGAUUUUCCUCUGCCUGAGGUACCCAAGUGACCAGGGCAAGUUCCAGAUAACAGAUAAAAUGCAAAUUAAAUGGCCCCAUACGUGUCUGCCUGCUGCCUGUCACCUGCAACCCUCCCUUCUCUUGUCACUUAGGGAGCUGAGAGAGUGACAGCUGGGGAGCCCCAGGCCCCAGUGACACCUGCUCAAUCUCUCCCUGCCUUUUGCUUUAGCUGCCUGGAUCCCAGUCUGGACUGGAUCAGGGGUCAGCAGGACAAACAUGGCAGCCGGAGUCCCCAGAGGCUGCCUGGGCUCCCCGUGUCCCCACCCCAGCUCUGCCCUGCCUUUCCUGUUAACUGCAUAUUUCUCAGUAGCAAAACAGAGCCUCUCUGAAUCUACUUGUGAGUCUUCUCUUCUUGGAAAAGCACUUCUUUGGUUGCUGCUUUGUAAGACAAUAUAUAACUGAUUGUUUCUCCAAGACAAAAAGAAAAUUCCUAUUGCUAAAAUCAAAUAUAGUCCCUUCUACUUUGCUUCUGUGCUUCUGCACAGAAAAUAACUUUUCGUUUCAAUGCUGAAUUACAAUGUAAUCUUGGAGGACAUUUUAAAUGGCAAACUCAAAAUAUGUUGUACCAACACUGCAGAGAGCUCAGCGAGCUGACACCAAGACCAUCAAUCACUGAGCACUCAACAUGCCUAUAGAUGACAAUUAUGUCAUGUCUGCCGCCUGGCCAACUGCAGUGAUGACGCCAUUAAUCCUAAAGACAUCCUAAUUUCAGAGAUACUAAAACAUGAGGGGGGAAAGGUGUGCUUCAAUAGACAAAAUGCAGUUGUUUUGUAAAAAUAUCAUUUAACAACCUGAAUUUUUCAUUCACUCUUGUAUCCUCAACAUACUUCCAUGUCAAGGAAUAUCUGUAUCGACACUCUUAAAAUAAUUUUGGAUUCCAUUUCCUUUCAUUACGUCCCAUUGACUGAAUUUAUUAGUCACCAAAUCGUGUUUGCAAGUGAGUCAGGUGCUUCCUUUUUUACAGAAUUAUGAAUGAUGAUGCAAAGAGUAUCUCUAAAGAUAAAUAAUUGAACACAUCUUUUGUGAUUUUUAAAAGACCUUGAUACACAUUGCAUGAUUAACGUUUGAGCUUGGUACCAAGCAAAAUGGGCAAAAAUAUUCCUUGCCUGAGAUCUUUAGUGUUACAAGCCUUCCUUGUUUCUAUAUGAGUCACUGCUACAACUCCGCUAAUACCUUCUCAGACCAAGAAUAUCACAAAUCUUGUCAUGUAUCAACAAACUGUCUCUCCUCAGUUAGAAUUGUGAGACUGAGCAAAUAAAAACACAGGAUGUCCAGUUAAAUUUUAACUUCAAAUAAACAAAUACAUACUUUUUAAGUGUAAGUAGGUCCCAAGCCAUAUUUGGGGCAUAUGUGUACUAAAAAGUAUUCAUUGUUAAUCUGGCAUGUGAAAUUAACUAGGAAUGCUAUAUUUUACAUGGCAAUCCUAUCUCAGUGUAUUCUUGGAGUCUGCAGGAUCCUGUGCUGCUAAUAUACUGCCCUGCCUUAGCUCUUUAUGGAAGCUGAAGCUCAGCUUCCUUAGAGUUACUCGAUUCCUUAAGCACACGAUUUUUUGAAGUUGUGUUUAAGCUUGUCUUCCAUUACCUGAAAGGUGAUGUCAACCAUGUAGGGCCACAGGAUUCCAGUAGCCUCAGAAUCCUAAGACAGAGACUUUCAGCCCAGCUUAGCCCCUUAGCUGUGUUACUUCUGUCUCCCAGAGCUUCCAUUUUUCCUACAUAAAAAUAUUAGGAACCAUAUUAGGGGGAACAAAAAUAUUGGGGAGAAGGACCCCCCUCAGUAUUGCUAUAUAAAAACAGCAAUGGACUGACUUACCUUAAAGGAUUUAUAAACUGCAAAACAUUAUGAGCUAAAAAUCAUGGGGGAAAGUCCCAUGAAGCCAGAACUUUAGAAAUAUUAUCUUUUCCCAGGUUUGUGCUGCUGUGAUCUCCUCUGCCAGUCACCUGUACUGCUCACUCCCAUUCGCCACCCUCCCCCCACCCCAACCAGACACAUGAAGCUCCCCUGCGGGCAGGCAUAAAAAAAUCCCAGCUAUUCUUUUUUUAUGAUUUUUAUUUUUUCCAUUAUAGUUGAUUUACAGUGUUCUGUCAAUUUCUACUAUACAGCAAAGUGACCCAGUCAUACAUGUAUAUAUAUAUAAUUCAUUCUUUUUCUCACAUCAUCCUCCAUCAUGUUCCAUCACUUGACUAGGUAUAUUCCCUGGGCUGAACAGCAGGAUCUCAUUGCUUAUCCACUUCAAAUGCAAUAGCUUGCAUCUAUUAACCCCAAACUCCCAGUCCAUCCUAUUCCCUCCCUUGCCCCCUUGGCAACCACAAGUCUGUUCUCCCAAGUCCAUGAGUUUCUUUUCUGUGGAGAAGUUCAUUCAUGCUGUAUGUUAGAUUCCAAAUACAGGAAUGGCUUAGCUCAAGAUGCUGCACAUAGAAGGCCAGAGACAACUGGGGAAGUCAUCUUCUUCCAAAGCUUGGGGAAAAGCAUUCAAAGAGAUUCCUGUGUUUUAUGAGCAGGACUUUAAUUAGACUGAAGGGCUGCUUCUUCAAUCUAGGCUGCGUAAAGGGCACUAGAAAGUAAUCAAUAACCCAGACAACAGUUUGGAACCAGGAAAAAAAUCGAUCAAGUUAGCCUCAACUAUUCUGGAUAUUUUGGCUGAAUUUGUGAGCAGGCUAGGACCGUCAAAAAGAAGAUCAACCGUCAGUGCUUUGUUAAACUGUGAUGUCUCAAGGAGGCCGAGGAGCACCAGGCAUGAGAUGAAUCUUUAGGAACAGAUGGUAGCGAUUGUCUAGCUCUUUAAAACUGAUAAAAAUGUGUACACAAUUUUGGGCCAGGGAAUGUAUUCUUAAGCAGCACACAGAGCCUCAGAUCAAGAAAUUCUAACAUCAGAGGCUUAAAAUAAUAAUGUCAAAAGAAAAAAAAAAUCGGGGGAACAAUAUUAGCUAUCUAGAGCACAGUCACAUUUCUUUAGUUUACAAUACAUUCGUAUAAAUGGAGAUUGAAUAAUUCAAGACAGAAAGAAAGAACGUGUAAUGUACAGAAAAAUAAACACAUGAAAACAUAGUUAACAUCACUCAUCACGAUAGAAAUGGGGAUGAGAGAUCAAUUCUCAGUGAGCACAUAGGUUAAAAUUAAAAAGCUGAUCAAUAUCCAGUAUUGGUCACCCCGUGGGCAAGCUGCCAUUCUCAAAGGCUGUUGCCGGAAAUGUUAAUCAUCUCCUUUUCAAAGGAUAACUUGCCAGUAUCUAUUAAAACUGGAAAUACAUCCUUCGUGGUACAGUCAUUCUAUUACUGGGAGUUUAUAAAUACAUUCACAAAAGGACACUAAGAUGUAUAUAAAAAGAUUCAUUGCAACAUGUUAAGAUGGAAAAACUGAAAAACAGACUAAAUAUCUGUAUGGUAGACUGAUGAUGUAAAUAAUACAGCCAUACAAUGUAAUACCAUGCAGAUAUUUUUUUUAUUUAUUCAACAUGUAUUCUUUUUUUCCUUUUUUGUUAUUCAAUGAAUUUAUUACAUUUGUGGAUGUACAGUGAUCAUCACAAUCCAAUUUUAUAGGAUUUCUAUCCCACAACCCCAGUGCAUACCCCCACCCCUUAAACUGUCUCCUUUGGAGACCAUAAGUUUUUCAAAGUCUGUGAGUCAGUAUUUGUUCUGCAAAGAAGUUCAUUCUGUCCUUUUUUCAGAUUCCACAUGUCAGUGAAAGCAUUGGAUGUUGGUGUUGCAUUGUAUGGCAGACUUCACUUAGCAUGAUCGUUUCUAGGUCCAUCCAUGUUGCUAAAAAUUCGUGCAGAUAUUUAGAAAAAGACCAGGAAUUGGGGUAAGAAUGAUGAUUUAUGCCUUUCCUCCCCAAUCCAAAAUUUGUCAGAAUGUAUUUGGUAUAAGUAGUAGUAGAUAAAUAAAUACUUGUGCGCAUUGGAUAUAUAUUUAUUUGGAGGUAAUAGCAAAUUUUCUUUCCUUGAGGAGUACAAAGAUGAUGGUAGUUCCAAAACAACUGAUGAUUGUUCCUUUGGGGAGUGGGCUAGUGGUUGGGAGGUGAGGGGAGAGGGCUUUUGCCUUUGGGUUUCACCUUGCGUAGAGAUAUGAUUAGAUGCAGAGCUCCAAGGCUGCUGAACUUGGCAACAGACACAGGAAGAUAUGGUCUCUUGUCCAAGAGCUGAGAACAGGUGUAGAGAGACAUCAAAGGACUAGGAUUUCUGUACAGACACAGGCUGGCUGGCUUGACAUGAGCGGUCACAGGAAAGCUGCAAGCACCAACAGAUAUGACCUCUGAUUGGAAGCAGAGAGCUCUGACCCUCAGCAGUCUGAGGGCCAGUCAAGGUCAGAGUUAGGGGAGCUUUCACUUAGGGAGUCACUCAGUUCACAGGGUUUGCAGCAUAGGUGUCUAGUGUGUUAAGUGGAUAUAGGGAGGGGGGCCCAGUCCAGUACCAGAGGCAUGAAUAUUUUCCUCCAGGGACCACGCUGGGCCUGAGCUCUGAAGGAGGCAUAGGAAUUGUCUUGGCAAAGGGGUGGGGAUGGAAAGGUACCAGGCAGAGGGGGCAGCACGUGUGAAGCUGUGAGGCAGGGAGCAGAAGGCCAGCUCCCGCGGCUGGAGCAGAUAUGAUGUGGGAGGAGGCGCACGAAGCGACCUUGAGGUGGGCAAGGGCCUAGCCAACGGGACAUGGGGGCAAAGUUUGGGGUUUCGUCUUUAUCCCCAGAGCACUGGGAAGCUGUUGAAGCGUGUUACUUGUAUCUAGACCAGAUCUCGUGUAUUCAACAGUGAGAAGAGGGGGAUGGAAGAGAGGAAGUUAGGAGGCUUUGGUGACGUUCACAGGAGAGAUGAUCAUGUGGGAACCACAGAGCUGAUGCUAAAGUUGGAUAGAAGCUUAGGGGUGCCUCUUGUGAUCUCUGCUUCAAAAGCACCCCACCAGGUGGCAUAACUGCCAUUCUGAGCUGCCUUGAACUGUGGAGAUGGGGGUGGGCAUGGGGACCAAAGGAAAACAAAAUGAAAAAGAUCCACAGAGCUGAACACCAGUCACGGGAGCUCCAGACUCUGUACAACAUGGGUUUGCAGCUCACAUUCCCAUCUGCGCUCUGGGCCUCCCUCCACACCCAGGAAGUGGGAUUCACAAAAACAGUGAUUACUUCUGUGCAUUAGCAUUAGACUUUAACACUGACCAACUUCGAGAAUGGUAAUCAUUGUGUUCUGGGGGAAUUCACUUAAUUUCCAGAUAUUGACUCCCUGCUAUUUCCCUUUUUCAGCAUCAUUCAUUCUUACUUCUCAUUAAUCCUUAGGGGCAGGACCAUCUCUUGGCAAAAUUGUGAAUUAGGAGAGCUCAAGGCCCUGGGCUUUUUAAGGUUCUUUCCUGCCUUUAGUACUUCAUCCUCUUGUAGGCUGACAUAAGGAAGGGGAGCCUCAGAGAGGCUGCACAGGCCUAAAAAUCCACAUGCACACCAUGCCUUUGAGUGGAUGUGGGUACUGUUGUGAUUGAUGAAAUAAACAUUUAUUUCCGUGUUCUACUGAAUGCAAUAUAACUUCUGGUCAUUACGUAGUUUCUUAAUCAAAAGAUUCUAAAGGUAUAACCUGUUAUGUGGGGGAUGGGUUCUAUGGAUUUCUUUAAAAGGGGAUAUUAUACUUAACUGAUAGACUAGGGCAAAGGGUCUGACAGAGAAGGACAAAGUGUUUUUCAUUCAAUAAAUAGUUAUUGCGUACCCAUUCCAAGCCAUGAAUGAGACAUAGUCCCAGUCCUCAAAACACAUCGAGUCUGGUGGGAGAUAGUAAACAGUAAUGGGAACACUGGAGAAAAGCUGAUUUUCAGUAGAAGAUAAGCUGUUUGGUUGGAAAUCAGUUCAGUUUUAGGAUGUAGGGACAUUGGGCUACUCCUUGGGUAAACUUUUUGAAUGGGGAACCUCUAGAGGGGUAAAUUUCUCAGACUGAGAAAGACAAAUACUUAUGAUUUCACUCAUA
rnacentral:lncRNA from 1 species